GUUUACCUGUGUGACUGCGUACCUUUUGUAUAAUGGGUCAGCGACUUAUAUUCUGUAGCAAGGUUAACCGAAUAGGGGAGCCGGAGGGAAACCGAGUCUUAAUUGGGCGUUAAGUUGCAGGGUAUAGACCCGAAACCCGGUGAUCUAGCCAUGGGCAGGUUGAAGGUUGGGUAACACUAACUGGAGGACCGAACCGACUAAUGUUGAAAAAUUAGCGGAUGACCUGUGGCUGGGGGUGAAAGGCCAAUCAAACCGGGAGAUAGCUGGUUCUCCCCGAAAGCUAUUUAGGUAGCGCCUCGUGAAUUCAUCUCCGGGGGUAGAGCACUGUUUCGGCUAGGGGGCCAUCCCGGCUUACCAACCCGAUGCAAACUGCGAAUACCGGAGAAUGUUAUCACGGGAGACACACGGCGGGUGCUAACGUCCGUCGUGAAGAGGGAAACAACCCAGACCGCCAGCUAAGGUCCCAAAGUCAUGGUUAAGUGGGAAACGAUGUGGGAAGGCCCAGACAGCCAGGAUGUUGGCUUAGAAGCAGCCAUCAUUUAAAGAAAGCGUAAUAGCUCACUGGUCGAGUCGGCCUGCGCGGAAGAUGUAACGGGGCUAAACCAUG
rnacentral:rRNA from 1 species